UACAGAGGUCUCAAGCGUUGUUCGGAUUUAUUGGGCGUAAAGGGUUCGUAGGUGGCCGGCUAAGUCAGACGUGAAAUCCCUCAGCUUAACUGGGGAACUGCGUCUGAGACUGGUCGGCUUGAGUGCAGGAGAGGAACGCGGAAUUCCAGGUGUAGCGGUGAAAUGCGUAGAUAUCUGGAGGAACACCGGUGGCGAAGGCGGCGUUCUGGACUGCUACUGACACUGAGGAACGAAAGCCAGGGGAGCAAACGGG
rnacentral:rRNA from 1 species